GACGGACGCUGGCGGCAUGCCUAAUACAUGCAAGUCGAGCGAACAGAUGAAGUGCUUGCACUUCUGACGUUAGCGGCGAACGGGUGAGUAACACGUAAGGAAUCUACCUAUAAGCGGGGGAUAACAUUCGGAAACGGGUGCUAAUCCCGCAUAAUAUCUUCUUCCGCAUGGAAGAAGAUUGAAAGACGGCUCUGCUGUCACUUAUAGAUGACCUUGCGGUGCAUUAGUUAGUUGGUGGGGUAAUGGCCUACCAAGACGAUGAUGCAUAGCCGACCUGAGAGGGUGAUCGGCCACAUGGGGACUGAGACACGGCCCAAACUCCUACGGGAGGCAGCAGUAGGGAAUCUUCCGCAAUGGGCGAAAGCCUGACGGAGCAAUGCCGCGUGAGUGAAGAAGGCCUUCGGGUCGUAAAACUCUGUUAUAAGAGAAGAACCAAUUGUAGAGUAACUGCUACAGUCUUGACGGUAUCUUAUCAGAAAGCCACGGCUAACUACGUGCCAGCCGCCGCCGUAA
rnacentral:rRNA from 1 species